CGUCAUGCCAAAAUCACCUGCCAACUACGCCAGUACCACUUGGCGGACACUGUGGAAACACCUGUCGGGCCGGCCGGAACCACAUCUCAGACGUGCCAGAACCAUGUGAUGAGAUGCUGGAACCACACCCCGAACAGACGGAAAACACCUGCCAGACCCGUCUGAACAACCUGCCGAGCACGCCGGAGCCACCUGCUCGACUCGCCGGAACCACCUACCUGACAUGCCCAAAUCACCAGCCGGGUAUGCCAGAACCACUUGGCGGACACUCCGGAAUCAUCUGCCGGACAUGCCGGAACCAGCUCUCAGACACACCAGAACCACGUGCCGGAGACGCCGGAAGCACCUGCCGAGCAUGCCGGAGCCACCUGCUCGACUCGCCAGAAACACCUGCCGGACACGCCAAAAUCACCUGCCGGGUACGCCAGAACCACCUGGCGGACACUCCGAAACACCUGUCGCGCAUGCCGGAACCACCUCUCAGACGUGCCGGAAGCACGUGCCGGACACGCCGGAAUCACCUACCGGACAGACCGGAACCACCUGCCGAGCACGCCGGAGCCACCUGUUCGACUCGCUGGAACCACCUGCCGGACAGGCCAAUAUCAACUGCUGGCUAUGCCAGAACCACCUGGGGACGGUCCGGAAUCACCUGCCAGCCAUGGCGGAACCACCUCUCAGACGUACCAGAACCACCUGCCGGAGAAGCUGGAAACACGUCCUGGACAGUCUGGAACCACCUGCCGGCCAAGCCUGAACCACCUGCCAAGCACAACGGAACAACCUGCCAGACACGCCAAAAUCACCUGCGUGUUAUGCCAGAACCACUUGGAGGACUCUCUGGGAUGACCUGCCGGGCAUGCCGGAACCACCUCUCAGACGUGCCAGAACCAUGUGGCGGACAGUCCGGAAUCACCUGUUGGGCAUGCGCAACCACCUCUGAGACGUACCAGAACCACAUGCCGUGCAGGCUGGAACCACCUACCGGACAGACCGGAAUCACCUUUCGGGCAUGCCGGAACCACCUGUCAGAUGUGCCAGAA
rnacentral:lncRNA from 1 species